GGUGUAUCUGAUAGUACAGUAAAAUUAAAGUAUGUUCUUCCAUUAAAAGCGUUAAUUUGUUUAUGAAAACCUUGAAUUUGUUGAAUUUCCAUCAAACUUGAUCGUGAAAGAUCAGGCAACGUAUUAUUUCGAUCGUGAAAGAAAAUGCGUGACCAGACUUAAUACUAGUAAUCAGAAAUCAGUAUUUCUUUUACCAUUUGAUAAAUCUGCAAGUGGUUGAAGCC
rnacentral:lncRNA from 1 species